rnacentral:rRNA from 1 species
ACUGAACGCUGGCGGCAGGCCUAACACAUGCAAGUCGAGCGGAUGAAGGGAGCUUGCUCCUGGAUUCAGCGGCGGACGGGUGAGUAAUGCCUAGGAAUCUGCCUGGUAGUGGGGGAUAACGUCCGGAAACGGGCGCUAAUACCGCAUACGUCCUGAGGGAGAAAGUGGGGGAUCUUCGGACCUCACGCUAUCAGAUGAGCCUAGGUCGGAUUAGCUAGUUGGUGGGGUAAAGGCCUACCAAGGCGACGAUCCGUAACUGGUCUGAGAGGAUGAUCAGUCACACUGGAACUGAGACACGGUCCAGACUCCUACGGGAGGCAGCAGUGGGGAAUAUUGGACAAUGGGCGAAAGCCUGAUCCAGCCAUGCCGCGUGUGUGAGGAAGGUCUUCGGAUUGUAAAGCACUUUAAGUUGGGAGGAAGGGCAGUAAGUUAAUACCUUGCUGUUUUGACGUUACCAACAGAAUAAGCACCGGCUAACUUCGUG